rnacentral:rRNA from 1 species
CAAAAACAUUGUAUUAAGUUUAAUUUAAUAUAGGAUCUGCUCAAUGAUUUAUUAAAUAGCUGCAGUAUUUUGACUGUGCAAAGGUAGCAUAAUAAUUAGUCUUUUAAUUGAGGACUUGUAUGAAAGAUUUGAUGAGAAAUAAACUUUAUUAUUUAUAUAAUUAAAAUUUUAUUUUUAAGUAAAAAAGCUUAAAUUAUUUAAAGGGACGAUAAGACCCUAUAAAACUUUAUAAAUAGUAAUUUUAAUUUUUUUGGAUUAAUAAAUAUUUUAAUUUUAUUAUUUAUUUUAUUGGGGUGAUAAAAAAAAUUAUUAAACUUUUUUUAAAAUUUUACAUUAUUUAGUGAAUAGUUGAAUUAAAAUUUUUAAUUAAAGGAAAAAGUUACUUUAGGGAUAACAGCGUAAUUAAUUUUUUAAGUUCAAAUUUAAAAAUUAGUUUGCGACCUCGAUGUUGAAUUAAGAUUAAUCUUAGGUGCAAAAUUUUAAGUAUUAGGUCUGUUCGACCUUUAAAUUCUUACGUGAUCUGAGUUCAAACCGGA